AGUGAAUAGAUACCCGGGUAGUCCCAGCUGUAAACGAUGCGCGUUAGGUGUAUCGGUGACCACGAGUCACCGAGGUGCCGAAAGAGAAAUCGUGAAACGUGCCGCCUGGGAAGUACGGUCGCAAGGCUGAAACUUAAAGGAAUUGGCGGGGGAGCACCACAACAGGUGGAGCCUGCGGUUUAAUCGGACUCAACGCCGGGAAACUCACCGGACAAGACAGCUGAAUGAUUGCCGGGCUGAAGACUCUGCAUGACUAGCUGAGAGGAGGUGCAUGGCCGUCGUCAGUUCGUACUGUGAAGCAUCCUGUUAAGUCAGGCAACGAGCGAGACCCACGCCAACAGUUGCCAGCUCGUCCUCCGGGAUGGUGGGGACACUGUUGGGACCGCCUCUGCUAAAGAGGAGGAAGGAAUGGGCAACGGUAGGUCAGCAUGCCCCGAAUUGUCCGGGCUACACGCGGGCUACAAUGGGUGGGACAAUGGGUAUCGACACCGAAAGGUGAAGGCAAUCU
rnacentral:rRNA from 1 species